UACGAAGGGGGCUAGCGUUGCUCGGAAUCACUGGGCGUAAAGCGCACGUAGGCGGCUUUCUAAGUCAGGGGUGAAAUCCUGGAGCUCAACUCCAGAACUGCCUUUGAUACUGGGAAGCUCGAGUCCGGAAGAGGUGAGUGGAACUGCGAGUGUAGAGGUGAAAUUCGUAGAUAUUCGCAAGAACACCAGUGGCGAAGGCGGCUCACUGGCCCGGAACUGACGCUGAGACGCGAAAGCGUGGGGAGCAAACAGG
rnacentral:rRNA from 1 species